rnacentral:rRNA from 1 species
AGUCGAGCGGAUGACAGGAGCUUGCUCCUGAAUUCAGCGGCGGACGGGUGAGUAAUGCCUAGGAAUCUGCCUGGUAGUGGGGGACAACGUUUCGAAAGGAACGCUAAUACCGCAUACGUCCUACGGGAGAAAGCAGGGGACCUUCGGGCCUUGCGCUAUCAGAUGAGCCUAGGUCGGAUUAGCUAGUUGGUGAGGUAAUGGCUCACCAAGGCGACGAUCCGUAACUGGUCUGAGAGGAUGAUCAGUCACACUGGAACUGAGACACGGUCCAGACUCCUACGGGAGGCAGCAGUGGGGAAUAUUGGACAAUGGGCGAAAGCCUGAUCCAGCCAUGCCGCGUGUGUGAAGAAGGUCUUCGGAUUGUAAAGCACUUUAAGUUGGGAGGAAGGGCAGUAAAUUAAUACUUUGCUGUUUUGACGUUACCGACAGAAUAAGCACCGGCUAACUCUGUGCCAGCAGCCGCGGUAAUACAGAGGGUGCAAGCGUUAAUCGGAAUUACUGGGCGUAAAGCGCGCGUAGGUGGUUCGUUAAGUUGGAUGUGAAAUCCCCGGGCUCAACCUGGGAACUGCAUUCAAAACUGUCGAGCUAGAGUAUGGUAGAGGGUGGUGGAAUUUCCUGUGUAGCGGUGAAAUGCGUAGAUAUAGGAAGGAACACCAGUGGCGAAGGCGACCACCUGGACUGAUACU